rnacentral:lncRNA from 1 species
AAAUGAGUGCAAGCCCGCUGGCCACUGACCCCAUGGCUCGCCCACAGAUGCCAGCAUUGGGAGCCGCCUCCUAGCAGGCAGCACCACAGGUGCCCUGGCUGUGGCUGUGGCCCAGCCCACGGAUGUGGUAAAGGUCCGAUUCCAAGCUCAGGCCCGGGCUGGAGGUGGUCGGAGAUACCAAAGCACCGUCAAUGCCUACAAGACCAUUGCCCGAGAGGAAGGGUUCCGGGGCCUCUGGAAAGGGACCUCUCCCAAUGUUGCUCGUAAUGCCAUUGUCAACUGUGCUGAGCUGGUGACCUAUGACCUCAUCAAGGAUGCCCUCCUGAAAGCCAACCUCAUGACAGAU